UGGGGAAUAUUGGACAAUGGGCGCAAGCCUGAUCCAGCCAUGCCGCGUGAGUGAUGAAGGCCUUAGGGUUGUAAAGCUCUUUCGCCGGUGAAGAUAAUGACGGUAACCGGAGAAGAAGCCCCGGCUAACUUCGUGCCAGCAGCCGCGGUAAUACGAAGGGGGCUAGCGUUGCUCGGAAUCACUGGGCGUAAAGCGCACGUAGGCGGAUCGUUAAGUCAGGGGUGAAAUCCUGGAGCUCAACUCCAGAACUGCCCUUGAUACUGGCGAUCUCGAGUUCGAGAGAGGUUGGUGGAACUCCGAGUGUAGAGGUGAAAUUCGUAGAUAUUCGGAAGAACACCAGUGGCGAAGGCGGCCAACUGGCUCGAUACUGACGCUGAGGUGCGAAAGCGUGGGGAGCAAAACAGGAUUAGAUACCCUGGUAGUCCACGCCGUAAACGAUGGAUGCUAGCCGUUGGGGGGUUUACCUCUCAGUGGCGCAGCUAACGCCUUAAGCAUCCCGCCUGGGGAGUACGGUCGCAAGAUUAAAACUCAAAGGAUUGACGGGGUCAUAGCUGUUUCCU
rnacentral:rRNA from 1 species